rnacentral:rRNA from 1 species
AUUUGAAAUCUGGCUCUUUUAGGGUCCGAGUUGUAAUUUGCAGAGGGCGCUUUGGCGUUGGCAGCGGUCCAAGUUCCUUGGAACAGGACGUCACAGAGGGUGAGAAUCCCGUACGUGGUCGCUGGCCUUCGCCGUGUAAAGCCUCUUCGACGAGUCGAGUUGUUUGGGAAUGCAGCUCUAAAUGGGAGGUAAAUUUCUUCUAAAGCUAAAUACUGGCCAGAGACCGAUAGCGCACAAGUAGAGUGAUCGAAAGAUGAAAAGCACUUUGGAAAGAGAGUCAAAUAGCACGUGAAAUUGUUAAAAGGGAAGCGCUUGCAGCCAGACUUGCCCGUAGUUGCUCAUCCAGGCUUUUGCCUGGUGCAUUCUUCUAUGGGCAGGCCAGCAUCAGUUUGGGCGGUUGGAUAAAGGUCUCUGUCAUGUACCUCCUUUCGGGGAGGCCUUAUAGGGGAGACGACAUGCAACCAGCCUGGACUGAGGUCCGCGCAUUCGCUAGGAUGCUGGCGUAAUGGCUGUAAGCGGCCCGUCUUGAAACACGGACCAAGGAGUCUAACAUCUAUGCGAGUGUUUGGGUGUCAAGCCCGAACGCGCAAUGAAAGUGAACGGAGGUGGGAACCCUUAAGGGUGCACCAUCGACCGAUCCUGAUGUCUUCGGAAGGAUUUGAGUAAGAGCAUAGCUGUUGGGACCCGAAAGAUGGUGAACUAUGCUUGAAUAGGGUGAAGCCAGAGGAAACUCUGGUGGAGGCUCGCAGCGGUUCUGACGUGCAAAUCGAUCGUCAAAUUUGGGCAUAGGGGCGAAAGACUAAUCGAACUAUCUAGUAGCUGGUUCCUGCCGA